AUUGAACGCUGGCGGCAUGCUUUACACAUGCAAGUCGAACGGUAACAGGCCGCAAGGUUCUGACGAGUGGCGAACGGGUGAGUAAUGCAUCGGAACGUGCCCAGUCGUGGGGGAUAACUACUCGUAAGAGUAGCUAAUACCGCAUACGAUCUAUGGAUGAAAGCGGGGGACCGUAAGGCCUCGCGCGAUUGGAGCGGCCGAUGUCAGAUUAGGUAGUUGGUGGGGUAAAGGCUCACCAAGCCAACGAUCUGUAGCUGGUCUGAGAGGACGACCAGCCACACUGGGACUGAGACACGGCCCAGACUCCUACGGGAGGCAGCAGUGGGGAAUUUUGGACAAUGGGCGCAAGCCUGAUCCAGCAAUGCCGCGUGCAGGAAGAAGGCCUUCGGGUUGUAAACUGCUUUUGUACGGAACGAAACGGCUCUGGUUAAUACCCGGGGCUAAUGACGGUACCGUAAGAAUAAGCACCGGCUAACUACGUG
rnacentral:rRNA from 1 species